rnacentral:rRNA from 1 species
UUCGGAGGAAAAGAACCAACCGGGAUUGCCUUAGUAACGGCGAGUGAAGCGGCAAAAGCUCAAAUUUGAAAUCUGGUACCUUCGGUGCCCGAGUUGUAAUUUGGAGAGGGCAACUUUGGGGCCGUUCCUUGUCUAUGUUCCUUGGAACAGGACGUCAUAGAGGGUGAGAAUCCCGUGUGGCGAGGAGUGCGGUUCUUUGUAAAGUGCCUUCGAAGAGUCGAGUUGUUUGGGAAUGCAGCUCUAAGUGGGUGGUAAAUUCCAUCUAAAGCUAAAUAUUGGCGAGAGACCGAUAGCGAACAAGUACAGUGAUGGAAAGAUGAAAAGAACUUUGAAAAGAGAGUGAAAAAGUACGUGAAAUUGUUGAAAGGGAAGGGCAUUUGAUCAGACAUGGUGUUUUGUGCCCUCUGCUCCUUGUGGGUAGGGGAAUCUCGCAUUUCACUGGGCCAGCAUCAGUUUUGGUGGCAGGAUAAAUCCAUAGGAAUGUAGCUUGCCUCGGUAAGUAUUAUAGCCUGUGGGAAUACUGCCAGCUGGGACUGAGGACUGCGACGUAAGUCAAGGAUGCUGCAA